rnacentral:rRNA from 1 species
GGGCUCACACAAGCGGUGGAGCAUGUGGCUUAAUUCGAGGCUACGCGAAGAACCUUAUCCUGGGCUUGACAUGUCCGCAAGGGCCAAGACGUAGGGACCGGAAACGGCACCCGACAGGUACCCAAUCCUGAGCUUGGCACAGGUGCUGCAUGGCUGUCGUCAGCUCGUGUCGUGAGAUGUCGGGUUAAGUCCCAUAACGAGCGAAACCCCUGUCUCCAGUUGCUAACCCGCAAGGGAGGACUCUGGAGAGACUGCCGGUGUCAAACCGGAGGAAGGUGGGGAUGACGUCAAGUCCUCAUGGCCUUUAUGCCCAGGGCUGCACACGUGCUACAAUGGCGCGCACAAAGGGAAGCAAACGCGCGAGCGGGAGCAAAACCCAAAAAACGCGCCCCAGUUCAGAUCGUAGGCUGCAACUCGCCUGCGUGAAGUUGGAAUCGCUAGUAAUCGCGGGUCAGCAACACCGCGGUGAAUGUGUUCCUGAGCCUU